GACUUAUCACGUAUUAUUUUAACAAAAAAAUGAUAAUAAAUGGCGGUUAACUGUUAAUGUUAAUUUUCCAUUAUCAAAUAUCGAAUAUUAAUUAUUAAUUAAUUAAUAUUCUUUGAACGUUUAACCACAGAAUACGUUUUAAGUAAAUACAAUGUAAAUGUGUAUUAUUUUAAAUAUAAAUUUAAGGUUUAAACCAAUUAUUUCAAUGCAUAUGUAUUUUGUGAUAGUGUUUUAAUGUUGUAUUUUGGUUAAACAAUUUGAAUUUAAUUAAAAGUAUACUUCAAUCCAAUCAGCAUGUGUAUGACAAUUAGUUUUCAUACUUUUCCUACAACUUUUUAUAAUUUAUUGUGGCAAUUCGUAGAAUUGGUGUAAUUAAUCAAAAAUAACAGUGAAAUAUAUGACUAGCUCAAUUUGACCAGCAAUUAAUGCAAAUUCAUAUUGCUUUCUACUGGUACCUAUCUGAUGACUAUAAAUUAAUAAAUAAAAUAAAAUUGGAAUAAAAGAAUAAAAUAUACAUAUAUCUAUAUUAUAUUUUAAUCUUUUAACAAACUAAACAAUCUAUUAUGAAAUUUAUUUUAUUUUAUUUCAAAUUCCAAUUGCAUUUAAUAGUACUAACUUUUAAUUCAAAUAUCUAUAACAAUAUUGGAUGAACAAAUACAAAUUGCUGUUUUGGUUAGCCACAGCAUAAUACAGUGAAACUUCUAAUUAACGGUCACCAAAGGGACCAUAAAUAAUGACCGCUAUUUAGAGGUAGCUGUCCUAUAGAGGUGACCAUUAACGGAAGUUUUACUGCACAUCUCACCUGAUAACUUAAUAAUUGCAUUCUGAUAAAAAAAAUAACAGUGCAGCAUCAAGACCAACUACUUCUAAAUUUGUAAAAAUUGUUGAUGAUCAUAUUAAUAGUUAAUUGUAUGUUUAAAUAAUUAGGUUAAGUUAUUGGUACAUAACAUAAGUAGGGCGGCGCUUUCCAUUACCGCACAAACAUGACCCAAUACCGCACAAAGUGUAUAACCCAACACCGCACACAAAAAUAGUACGAUACCGCACAAAUUUAUAAAAAGGUAUAGCCUAAUUCCGCAUACAACAAAUGGUACGAUACCACAUAAAUUUAUUAAAUAUAAAAAUUUUACAUAGAAUUAAAUAGUUAAAAAUAAUUUUUAGUCAUAAUUUUUAGUAGUAUUAGUUAUAAUAGUAACACAAAUGUAAUAAUUUAAACAUAAAUGUUAUUGUAGAUACCUAUAUUGGUUUAAAAUGUAAACCAAUUUGUACACUGUGAAUACAAUCUUUUACAGAUAAAGUUUAAUAAUGUCGUUAUAGAUAAUUGUCGAUAAGUGACGAUAAUCGUCCAAAAUAUAAAUGUGCGGCAAUGGGAUAUCCAGUAUUUUAAAAUCUGUGUGCAGUUUUGUCCCAUGCAUAUUUAUAACGGGCGAUGCCCAAGUAGGGCUAUGGAGUUUUUAUUAACCUAAAUUAGCAAAUUAAAAUUUUUUUUUUAUAUCUGAGUGCCAUUUUUAUGCAAUAUAUUAAAAGAUUUUUAUAUCAUAAAAUAUUAAUUAAAAAUUAACAUCAUUUCAAAAAUAAGUGUAAAAAUCAAUAAUUUUUUAAAACAUCCAUAGCCCUAAAAAUAUGUUGUACUCUAUGUAUAGAGUAGAUAAUGUAAAGUAUGUUCAAUGUUCAUUUAAUUUGUAUUAAUUUAUCUAGGGUAGUGGACAUGUUAAGUGUUAAUAUUUUUUAUUAGGUAUGACCUUACCCAAAUCCUGCAAAAAUUUGCACUACGGAAAUUUGUUCAUGUUCUAGUAAAAUUAUUAAUAACUAAUGUGUUUAUUGCCUUUGAUAAUUUAGUAUUGAAUUAAUGUCCAUUAUUUGGUCUAUUCACAUACAAGAUAGUUUUAAUAUAAAAUGCAAAUCAUACAUUAUACGAAAAAUAUAUACUAGUAUAACUUAUAAUUAUAAAUGGAAAAUCGGGUAGGCACGAUGUACGAGCUCUAGGCCUAUAACCUUGUAUCAGAUUAACAAUACAGGACUCAUUUUCUCGAUGCACAAACCAUUGUAAUAUCAGUCUGAUGUAGGUUAUUUGUCAUGUCACUUAAUUUGUGUAAUCAAAAUAAUUUACCUAUUCUAUUUUUUUUUUAGUAUACAUAGAUUGAUUUGUAAUUAUUUUUAUGUUUAAUGAAAAGAAAACCUUUAAUGGAAGGGGCAUUGUAAAAAUGUAUAAUUAGAAAAAAAGAAGAAAUGUGUGAAUAGACCUUUAACUACUUUAGUCUUAGCUCUAUACCCUGAAUCCAAGUACAUAUGGCAACCAUAUACAUUUAUAUCUGCACAUUUAUGAAUUAUUUUUCUAAAUACAUAGAAAUUGUUGAUUUACUUUGUUUUAAAAUGAAAAAAUGUUAUCUGUUUAAUAUAAUCAUUUACUAUAGUAAUUAAGAUACACCAUAUUGUUUUUUAAAAAAUAUUUAUUUUGUAAUUUACUAAUUAUAACUCAUCAAUCUAAUAUAGAAAUAUAAAUUAUAUUAAAUAAAUACAUAUGUAUUUGUAUGUAUUUGGAGGACAUAUCUUUAUCAAGACGCAAAACUUUAGUUUGGCAGCAGGACGGUGCUCCAGCUCAUAAUAAAAAUAUUGUCAUAGAGUAUUUAAAUUGCACUUUUGGUACAAAUUGGAUGGGAACGUACAGUCCAAAAAUAUGUUGGCCACCUCGUAGUCCCGAUCUGACUUCGCCAUAUUAUUUUCUUUGGGGUUAUCUUCAAAGUGUAGUUUACAAAGAAAUGCCUGCUAAUGUAAAUGAUCUUAAACAAAAAAUUAAAGAUGCUUGUUCUAAUAUCUCAAAUUAUGUUUUAGUGAAAACUACUACAAAUGAAUUACUUAAACGACUGGCAAUUUGUUUGGAAGUAGAUGGUCAUCAGUUUGAACAUCUAUUAAAAUAAAUUAUUAAUAAACUUUAAUUGACUACUUACAAGAA